rnacentral:rRNA from 1 species
CCUACGGGAGGCAGCAGUGGGGAAUAUUGGGCAAUGGGCGCAAGCCUGACCCAGCAAUGCCGCGUGAAGGAAGAAGGCUUUCGGGUUGUAAACUUCUUUGACAGGGGAAGAGCAGCAUACGGUACCCUGACAACAAGCCACGGCUAACUACGUGCCAUCAGCCGCGGUAAUACGUAGGUGGCAAGCGUUGUCCGGAUUUACUGGGUGUAAAGGGCGUGUAGCCGGGAAGGCAAGUCAGAUGUGAAAUCUGGAGGCUCAACCUCCAAAUUGCAUUUGAAACUGUUUUUCUUGAGUACUGGAGAGGCAGACGGAAUUCCUUGUGUAGCGGUGAAAUGCGUAGAUAUCUGGAGGAACAUCAGUGGCGAAGGCGACUAUCUGGCACAUAACUGACGCUGAGGAGCGAAAGCGUGGGUAGCAAACAGGAUUAGAUACCCCAGUAGUC